GACAGAGGAUGCAAGCGUUAUCCGGAAUGAUUGGGCGUAAAGCGUCUGUAGGUGGCUUUUCAAGUCCGCCGUCAAAUCCCAGGGCUCAACCCUGGACAGGCGGUGGAAACUACCAAGCUGGAGUACGGUAGGGGCAGAGGGAAUUUCCGGUGGAGCGGUGAAAUGCAUUGAGAUCGGAAAGAACACCAACGGCGAAAGCACUCUAGCGGGCCGACACUGACACUGAGAGACGAAAGCUAGGGGAGCAAAUGGG
rnacentral:rRNA from 1 species